rnacentral:rRNA from 1 species
ACUCCUACGGGAGGCAGCAGUGGGGAAUAUUGCACAAUGGGCGCAAGCCUGAUGGAGCAACACCGCGUGAGUGAAGAAGGGUUUCGGCUCGUAAAGCUCUGUUGUUAAAGAAGAACACGUAUGAGAGUAACUGUUCAUACGUUGACGGUAUUUAACCAGAAAGUCACGGCUAACUACGUGCCAGCAGCCGCGGUAAUACGUAGGUGGCAAGCGUUAUCCGGAUUUAUUGGGCGUAAAGAGAGUGCAGGCGGUUUUCUAAGUCUGAUGUGAAAGCCUUCGGCUUAACCGGAGAAGUGCAUCGGAAACUGGAUAACUUGAGUGCAGAAGAGGGUAGUGGAACUCCAUGUGUAGCGGUGGAAUGCGUAGAUAUAUGGAAGAACACCAGUGGCGAAGGCGGCUACCUGGUCUGCAACUGACGCUGAGACUCGAAAGCAUGGGUAGCGAACAGGAUUAGAUACCCU